UUAGCCGUGGGUUAGAGAGAACAAAGAAAGAAGAAGCUGUUGAUAGUGAAAUUGCAGUCGAUUUCUUCCAUCUCAAAUCAUCAAUUCCACCCUCUGCUGAUCUCUCUUCUAUGAAUUCCAUGGCCGCCAUCUCAGUGCAUCUCUUUCUCAAUUUUCAGAUAAAUAAAUAAAUGAGAAGAGAAAUUCAGAAACUACGUGUGUUGGAGUAAUUUUACCCAAAAAUUGAAUACGCACGUGAAAUUUUACGUCCGUAGGUUUCAUAACGGAGAUAUCGGACAAAAUGAGUCUCACAUUAAUUUUCACUUUACAAUUAAAUUAUUAAAAAUAAAUAACAAUGUUGGAAAUUGGAGGAACCGAAAAACCAAAAAAGUAGGCUCAAAUCCACGUUUUUUUUCUUUCUGCUUUUACUCUUUCUCUUCGCCAAAAACUCCGUUAAAGAAAAUGGUGGAGAUGAGACAUUAGAUUUAAAUUUUUUGAUUUGUUAAGGAACAAAAAGUCACCACUACAAUUUUUCUUGUUAAUUUUCUACUUCGAGUUUUUUUCCUGUGAUUCAGUACUAAAUAUUCAUCAUCUACAGAUUUACCUCUUUUCAAUUGAACUCAUUUAUAUCACAUCCCAAUAGUAAUUCCACAGCUACCACAACUGAUACUAGUAGUCAUCAUUUGCAAUUGAUUUAAAUCUUACAUUUAGCCGAUGAUCAUCGCCAUCAUGAUGAAAAAUCAUCAUCCGUCAACUGAUUUUGUAGUAGUAGCAAUGGCCAGCUUAAUAAUCAUCCCCGUUAUCUUACUAUAUUUCAAUUCUCAACCCGAAUUCUUCAAGACCAUCUUAAUAGAGAAUAUAAUCUCUUUGGACGUGGAAAGGCUUUAGUUUUUUUAUCAAUCAAGAUCCUUCACUGUUUCUGGUUUGCUAUUAGUGUCGAAGAGAAAGAGGAUGAAGUCGUUUUGGAUGCCGUCCAAUGUAAUUCGGAGGAACAACAACCAAUUAAUGUUGUUGGCUUUGACUCCAAAAAAUACUUCACUGCAGAUAAGACAUUUAGCUCAAAAGAAAAUGUUACACAAUGGUGUCGCGAGAUUGGUAGUCAAAACAAUAUAAUUGUUGUGAUUAAAAAGAGAUAACUGGAUUUUUAAUUUUUAGGUUUUGUCCAACACUAGGUUUUGGUCUAACAUUUGUCCAACGUUAGGGCUUGGUACAUGGACCAAACGUUGAGCUACGUUGACUGUUUAUGACGUGACUUUAAUAAAUUUAAUAAAAUAAAAAUACCAAAUUACAAUCAUACCCCUGGAGGGAAUCUAGAAUCCAACGGCUUUCAUAUAUUCAUUACCCUAUUUACUCCUUCUCCAUUGUCUUCACAAACAGAUAGUCUAAAAAAAUAAAAAAAUCUUCACGAACAGGUCUUCACAAACUGGCCGCAGAAAGAGUGAUUUCUUUUUUGUUUUGUUGAAUCCAAUCAUCUCUACAUGGUAAGGAAUGACUGAUUAGGGAUGACUGAUUGUUAGUUAGGGUUGUGGUGCUUAUUCAACUUGAUAUGUUCGUGAAGAUAAAUAAGACGAACCAGGGCGACAGAGAUCGAAGAACAAUUGAAGAUUAAUGAAGGCGAAUCUAAGCUGUGGGUCAUGCAGAAGAUGAUUUGGAGAAGUGGGUGUUUGAUGAUUUGUAAUAUAUUCUCUUUCUCUUUGAUUUUAAUUUUUUUAAUUGGUGUUUGUUAUUUAUGGGUGUUGAAUUCGCUCAAUUCUGGUGUGUAUUUGAUUUUGGGAUCUGGGGUUUUAAUUUUGAUCAUCAAUCUCAUUUUUAGGUAAGAAAUUUAUGGGUUUUAUCUAUUGUUUGAAUUUGAGUUGAAAUUGAAAUAUAAAUUUGUAACUGGAUUGAUGAUUUGUAAUUGGGUAUUGCAAUUGAUGAAAUUAUUAUUCAUGAGUGGUCCAAAAUGUUA